AUUGAACGCUGGCGGCAGGCCUAACACAUGCAAGUCGAACGGUAACAGGAAGCAGCUUGCUGCUUUGCUGACGAGUGGCGGACGGGUGAGUAAUGUCUGGGAAACUGCCUGAUGGAGGGGGAUAACUACUGGAAACGGUAGCUAAUACCGCAUAACGUCGCAAGACCAAAGAGGGGGACCUUCGGGCCUCUUGCCCUCGGAUGUGCCCAGAUGGGAUUAGCUAGUAGGUGGGGUAAAGGCUCACCUAGGCGACGAUCCCUAGCUGGUCUGAGAGGAUGACCAGCCACACUGGAACUGAGACACGGUCCAGACUCCUACGGGAGGCAGCAGUGGGGAAUAUUGCACAAUGGGCGCAAGCCUGAUGCAGCCAUGCCGCGUGUAUGAAGAAGGCCUUCGGGUUGUAAAGUACUUUCAGCGGGGAGGAAGGGAGUAAAGUUAAUACCUUUGCUCAUUGACGUUACCCGCAGAAGAAGCACCGGCUAACUCCGUG
rnacentral:rRNA from 1 species